CACGUAGGAGGCAAACGUUAUCCGGAUUUACUGGGCGUAAAGCGCGUGUAGGUGGUUCUGUAAGUAGGGCGUGAAAGCUCCCGGCUCAACUGGGAGAGGCCGUUCUAAACUGCAGAGCUAGAGGAUGGUAGAGGGAGGUGGAAUUCCUAGUGGAGCGGUAAAAUGCGCAGAUAUUAGGAGGAACACCAGUGGCGAAGGCGGCUUUCUGGACAGUAACUGACGCUGAGGCGCGAAAGCGUGGGGAGCAAACAGGAUUAGAUACCCCUGUAGUCCCUGA
rnacentral:rRNA from 1 species